AUUCCCUCUCUGGGAUGUGCUGGGGUAAGAACUCUCCUCUCAUUUCAGUGAAGAGGCUCUUUCAGCUCAUCUCAACUUCUUUCCAGCAGGUGUUUCUGGCAUCUAAAGCAUAGAGGCUUUGAAGAUUCUGUGAAGUAAACAGCAUGGAAUACAGGGAGUAUUUAGACUCAUGAUUUUGGCUUUUGUGUUUAGGGUGGUAAAGUGCAUUUGUAAUUUCUGGUUUUGUUCUUGUUUUGUUUUGUAUUUUUUUUUAGGAGGAGCGCAGCAUCCAGAGAUUCCUGGUUGUGUCAAGUACAACACUUUUUUCAGCAGAUUCAUCAUGUCACAAGAGGGAUCCGCCCAUGUCAAGGAUGAUGUCUGAGAUUGAGGCAUCAGGAACCCCACCCUCUCCUAAUCAGGACCCCCAGCCGACACCAAUCAAGCCUAAUCAGCACCCCCAGCUGACAGCAAUCAAGCCUAAUCAGUACCCCCAGCUGACACACCCCCAGCUGACAGCAAUCAAGCCUAAUCAGUACCCCCAGCUGACACCAAUCAAGCCUAAUCAGUACCCCCAGCUGACACACCCCCAGCUGACACCAAUCAAGCCUAAUCAGUACCCCCAGCUGACACCAAUCAAGCCUAAUCAGUACCCCCAGCUGACACACCCCCAGCUGACAGCAAUCAAGCCUAAUCAGUACCCCCAGCUGACACCAAUCAAGCCUAAUCAGUACCCCCAGCUGACACACCCCCAGUGACACCAAUC